rnacentral:lncRNA from 1 species
UGAUCCCGUUCGCUUUUACCACCCUGCUGGCCUCUACUGUGUUGCUUGUUUUGGUUAACCUGCUGCUCAGCUCUUUGCAUAUUGCUGCCCUUUUCUCUGCAUACUCUCUGCGUGCCAUUGCUCAUUUCUCUACUAAAUAUUGCUCACUAUUUCUAUGUGUUACAUUAUUUUGAACUGGUAUGUGUGCUAUUUAAGUUACAGCCUCAAAACAAUAUACUUCUAUUAGCGCUGCACUUUCUUUGUUCCUUGUGUGCUUCUACUUAUGGUCUUGUUGUUCCUACUGCAACUAUUAUGUAUCUGUGUUAAUUAGUAGGCCCUGGCAUGUUCAUUACCCCUUUUCCUACCCCAUGCAUGUUUCCCCUUUACUUAUGUACAUUACUAGAAUAUGUUCAGAUCCUCUUGGAUACACCACAGCCCUAAGACCUCUUCUUGAGGAUGAUUUGGUUUGGUAUCUGGUGCUGUAAGAACUGGACUCCUAGUUUGAAACAUGAACUCUUCUCUAAUGUGUUAUACAUGUGUAACUGAUUGUCUUGUUUGUGAGUUUUUUGUUUCCUUUACCUUUGCCUUUGUUUGUGUGACUGUCGCUUUCAAAAACUGGCUCCAUAUCAACUGUUUUCAAACUCAAUUCAUUUAUUCACUCUUCUACUAUUUUCCCAAUCUGUCCUUCAUGUAAAACAUUUUUUCUACUCAACUUAUUCAAAUUCCAUCACAAUCACACUACUCUUAGAAUUUAGGUUCUGCCUCCUUAAUGUAAGCAUUGAUUUGGGUAUCACUGAAUUUUGAUGUACAAGGCUGGCAAUUGCAAAACUUGCACUUGGCAAUGAUGAUUUGUCUUAGGUGCCUGGUAUUGGCCAGGGUCCCAAGGGACCCCUAGGGAACUUUGCCGCACCCAAACUCUUGGUGAAGGCUGUGAAAUUUGAAAGGAGUGAGGUUGGAGAUUUGGGCCUGGCUGAAGGAUCCCUAUAGAAUAACUUCCUAUUUUACUCUUCACUACUGUAAUUUAAUCUCUUCAUAUGUAAUAACUUGUAAAGAACAAUUGGGUUUAUAGUGUAAUUGGGGAGGGUUAUGCAUGUUUGUUUAAAGGUACGGGUAGACAACAUGUCUAUAGGAUUUUAUUUACCUAUUCAUGCAAUAGAAAUCGUGUAUAAGGC